rnacentral:rRNA from 1 species
ACGGGAGGCAGCAGUGGGGGAUAUUGCACAAUGGGGGAAACCCUGAUGCAGCGACGCCGCGUGAGUGAAGAAGUAUUUCGGUAUGUAAAGCUCUAUCAGCAAGGAAGAAAAUGACGGUACUUGACUAAGAAGCUCCGGCUAAAUACGUGCCAGCAGCCGCGGUAGUACGUAUGGAGCAAGCGUUAUCCGGAUUUACUGGGUGUAAAGGGAGCGUAGACGGCGAAGCAAGUCUGAAGUGAAAUGCCGGGGCUUAACCCCGGAACUGCUUUGGAAACUGUUUUGCUAGAGUGCAGGAGAGGUAAGCGGAAUUCCUAGUGUAGCGGUGAAAUGCGUAGAUAUUAGGAGGAACACCAGUGGCGAAGGCGGCUUACUGGACUGUAACUGACGUUGAGGCUCGAAAGCGUGGGGAGCAAACAGGAUUAGAUACCCUGGUA